CCAGAAGGGUUCAUUUCUAUUUUUAUCAAAAGAACAGUCCAUGGCAGGGCUCCCCAACCCCUGGGCCACAGAGCAGUACUGGUCUGUGGCCUGUUAGUAAAUGGGCUGAGCAGCAGGUGGUGAAUAGCAGGCGAACAAACAUUACUGCCUGAGCUCUGCCUCCUGUCGGAUCAGUGGUGGCAUUUUAUUGUCAUAGGAGUGCGAACCCUACUGUAAACCGCACAUGUGAGGGAUCUAGGUUGCACGCUCCUUAUGAGAAUCUAACUAAUGCCUGACCAUAUGAGGUGGAACAGUUUCAUCUCGAAACCAUUGCCCCGCCCACCAAGUCCAUGGAAAAAUUGUCUUCCACGAAACCAGUCCCUGGUGCCAAUAAGGCUGGGGACCACUGGUCUAUAGAACUGUCGGGUCAGUUUCAGAAGGACCACCGGCCACAAGACAUAUUUCACUGAGCAGCUGUUUCAACAAUACAGUCAGUUCAGUCUGUGUUUCAUGUGUGUUUAUAUCAGGUAUUAUAUAGAGCACACUGUCAUAUAUAUCUGUAUAUAGAUAAUACAUAUAUAUGAGUGUAUAUAAUAUAUGCAUCUGUAUAAUUAUAGAGAUGGCUCAAAUCAAAGUACCUAAUGUUUUCCUUAAUCUCUCCUAAGUGGAAAGAAAAAUAUAAACGGGAUGAAUGGAUGGGGAAAAAAGGACAAAGUAUUCAAAGCAUUUCCUACGAAAAUGACAAUAUGUUUAUAUGAGAGUUGCAAUAAAAAUACGGAGCGCUGAGUCAAACCACUGAUAAACAACAAAUAUUUUUGGAUAACUGUGUCUCAUGCAAUAUUUGGGACAUACUCUAUACAAAAAUAUUUGUUGUUUAUUUGAAACUCAAAUACGAGUGUCCUGCAGUUUACCUGACAAUGCAAGAUUAUUUCCUAUACUUCAACAUCAACAAGAUUUGAUUGCAUUUAAAUGUUUCUGUCCAUUUGUUCUUCUAUGUAAUACUUUUAAAAUAAUUGGCAUAAAAAUUCAAUCAAUUCAUAGAAGUCCAAAGCAAAAAAAAAAAAAACAAAUCUACUGAAAUCUCAUGAGGAAGAAAGGAUCAGGAUUGACAUUAAUGAACCCUCUCACAGAGACCACUCCACACACAAAAACAAAGAAGGAUGGGUGAAUGGAUGCAGAGAGAAUUUAAUAAGACUGAAAUGAUGCCAUACAUGCUUUUAAAAAAUAAAAGUAUUAAAUUUUAAAUUUUACUUCAAUAUAAGAGAAGAAAAAGAACAAAACGGAGAUUGAAAGAACUGCUGAACUUCAGGAAGUUUUACUUGAUCACAAAUAGAUACUAGUUUUAUAAAAUUCCCUUUUUCUUCUCAAGGGUGCCCUGCCCUUCCAGCCUGGUACCUUGCCCCUUGAGGCAUAAUAUUUCUGAAAACUGUCCAAAGGACCUGCAUAUUGUUAAGAAGAGCUGCAAAAUGUACCAGAGAGAAAGAUCAGGUACCCAACGGAACCCUCGUCCUAAGCAAAAAUAGCCACAAAUCACGGCCUGAUGUAACAGAUUUAUGUGAGCAGCGACCCUAGAACCAGACUGGGUAUCUGAAUCAUGGCUUCACUCACCACCUGCUAGCUGGCUAAUCUGGUGAGCAGUUUAUUCUCAUUUUGCCUUGGUUUAAUAAUUUUUUAAAUGGAGAUAACAGUCAUCCCUAAAUCAUAGAGGUGUUUUGAGGAUUAAUUGAGGUGCUUAAUUAUACAAUUUCACAAAUGACCAGACCAUGUAGCCUCACAUUUCCUACUUGACUCACUUUCAUAUUUUUUUAUUCACAAGGAAAAGAAAGAGAGUGAUUGUUAUCCUCCAGGAGCAUGUAAUGAAGAUAGAGCAUCUUCUUGUGAAAACAAUACAUGUACUGCGUUUCUAUGUACCUAUAUGUGCUUCCGUCAGUAAGCCUAUGUUGGCUGCUGCAUGUAUGAGCCCUGGGCCAGGAAAUGUGCCAGAAGACUGUGUCUUUCACUCAGCAGAUCGAUUUUCUUUCUUGGCCUAAUAUAUUUUAUUCUUAGAUACCAGAUAAUGUAAUAAACAUUACCAUGUAUUAAGUACCUACUCUGGACCCAACCCAAGAACAAGCCUUAUGAAAGUGAUAUAAGCAGGGGCACGAUGGUGUAAUUCACAUUUUCAUCAUCAGAUCACUCUGACUGCUGGGUGGAGAAUGUUUAUAGGAGAAAAAAGGUGAAAGCAGGGAGACAGGACAUUAAUGCAUUACCCCGGUUUAAGACGAUAGCGAUUAUCUUAGGCAUGUCAGAGAAAAAAAUUAAAGGUUUCGGAAUGUGUUUCUGAGGUGGGGUCAACAGGAUUUCCUGAUAAAUUGACUAUUUGGAGUUGAAGAAAAAGAAUAAACAGUCUAUAGGUAACCAAGUACAUCUUUUUUAAAGACUCAAAUGAAUUAUUUUUUCCUUUUUCCUUUCCUCACACCUCCUACUUAGCUCUUUGGGAAUGCAAUUAUAACCUUUACCUUCUCUCCACCAGACACUCCCUACACAGCAAGCUUAUCUAACUACGUGUUUACUUAGAAGUUACAGAGACUGAACCUUAAAGCAAACCAGGAACCUCCAGAACUCUCUCCUACCAGGAGGCAAAUUGAGAUUGCCUCAAUUUACAACCUAGCUCUGCCCAUGACGGUGCCAGCCAGACCACCUGAUAGAUAAGACAUCUGAAGCAAGUCACAUAGACUCCGCACUCCAUCGCCCUCUCCCCUGCAUGUUGUUCAUGCCAAGCCCCCUUUCAAAGCUCCUGCCUUCUGCCCCAAAGGCUGUAGUGGCUUCCUUAAGGCAGCCUGUACUACUUCCCCUCAGCUAGCUCUGGAAUAAAGCCACUUUCUUUUA